ACAUACGACCACAGCCGCUAGUAGAACUCGGGAUCCCGUCCGAUCUCCCAGGAUAAGCUGGCGAGCGCCGGAUCAGUAGUUGGGUCGGUGACGACCAGCGAAUACCCGGUGUUGUAUGUU
rfam:Villosiclava virens strain TV-8b Sca_57, whole genome shotgun sequence.